GAGGGUAUAGCUCAGUGGCAGAGUGCUAGCUUAGCAUGCAGGAGGUCCUGGGUUCCAUCUCCAAUACCUUUG
rnacentral:tRNA from 1 species